rnacentral:rRNA from 1 species
AUUGAACGCUGGCGGCAUGCCUUACACAUGCAAGUCGAACGGCAGCACGGGUGCUUGCACCUGGUGGCGAGUGGCGAACGGGUGAGUAAUAUAUCGGAACGUACCUUAUUGUGGGGGAUAACGCAGCGAAAGCUGUGCUAAUACCGCAUAAUCCCUAAGGGGGAAAGCGGGGGACCGUAAGGCCUCGCGCAAUUAGAGCGGCCGAUACCUGAUUAGCUAGUUGGUGAGGUAAAGGCUCACCAAGGCAACGAUCAGUAGCUGGUCUGAUAGGAAGAUCAGCCACACUGGGACUGAGAGACGUCCCAGACUCGUCCGUGAGGCAGCAGUGGGUAAUUUUGGACAAUGGGGGCAACCCUGAUCCAGCAAUGCGUCGUGAGUGAAGAAGGCCUUCGGGUUGUAAAGCUCUAUUGUCAGGGAAGAAACAGCAGCUCUAACACAGUUUGCGAAUGACGGUACCUGAAGAAUAAGCACCGGCUAACUACGUGCCAGCCGCCGCAGUAA